UAUUGGUGAUCAAGGCUUGGUUUGUGGUUGGUUUAUUUGAGCUUGGAGGGGCUGUGUUUUGCUUGUGAGGUUGCCUUGGAUUGAACGAAGUGAUCGGCCAAGUUCCUAAGUGCUUGCAUUCAUUCA